rnacentral:rRNA from 1 species
UACGUAGGGGGCAAGCGUUGUCCGGAAUCAUUGGGCGUAAAGCGCGUGUAGGCGGCUCGGUAAGUCUGCUGUGAAAAGUCCAGGGCUCAACCCUGGGAUGCCGGUGGAUACUGUCGAGCUCGAGUCCGGAAGAGGCGAGUUGGAAUUCCUGGGUGUAGCGGUGAAAUGCGCAGAUAUCAGGAGGAACACCAAUGGCGAAGGCAGCUCGCUGGGACGUGACUGACGCUGAGACGCGAAAGCGUGGGGAGCAAACAGG